UUUCUUGUUGUGUAUAUGUGUGUGC
rnacentral:piRNA from 1 species